GUUAAACAGUUCUGCAGCUGUUGUCUCACACUCGGCGGUCGUGGUCGAUGCGGUUGAUCUUUCCACCGAUGAAGACUCGGAUCCUGCAGUCGCCCCACUUACUCCUGUUGGUCAGCAGAUGUUUUCGGUGUAAACACUGACCUCCAUCAUCAAACAGCCACCAGACAUCUAUGGUUCCUUUGCCCUGUUUCUUCUUAAACUGCUGGCUGGACUCCAACAGACGCUGGUCCGUCAGACUCAGAGGAGACUUGGUCUCUGGAGCAGGAGACAACACAUACAGCCACCAGAUGUCCCCAGCCUUGCCCCUGUACCAGUCACCUGACACUCUUUACCCACCUGCACCACCUGUUCCCAUCUCCCUCAUCAGCUCUGUGCACACAGACCAGCCCUCUGUCCUCAGUCAGUUUGUUCCCUGUCUCUCUGCUGCCUGCUGUAUUGACUACCUGCCUGUUCAUCACUCACCUGCCUCUAAGCCUAUUUACUCUGAUUAAAGCUUCAUGUGUGACGGUUCGACAAACUGCAACAUCUCAAACCAAACCUGGCUUGAAUCCAGAACUUCAGCCACGCUGGAGGCCAAAAAGAAUCUUUGUAAAAUGUUAGUGUCUGUUUUGAAGAACACUC